CUAGGAUUAACCCAUUUUUUUUUUUAUAAACAUAGCAGUUUAAGAGAAACUGCUAUGUUUACAAAUGGGUUAAUCCUUCCUCCAAUUCCUCUAGCGGCUGUCUCAUUGACAGCCGCUAGAGGUGCUUGCGUGAUUCUCACUGUGAAAAUCACAGUGAGAGCACGCAAGCGUCCACAGGAAAGCAUUGUAAAUGCUUUCCUAUGCAACCGGCUGAAUGCGCGUGCAGCUCUUGCGCAUUCAGCCGAAUGGGAGGAACGGAGGAGGAUCGGAGGAGGAGAGCUCCCCGCCCAGUGCUGGAAAAAGGUAAGUUUUUACCCCUUUCCUCUCCCCAGAGCCGAGCGGGAGGGGGUCCCUGAGGGUGGGGGCACCCUAAGGGCACUAUAGUGCCAGGAAAACAAGUAUGUUUUCCUGGCACUCUAGUGGUCUUUUAAAGAGAAACUCAAGGGUCACUAACUCAUGGGAUAGAUGGUUCGGAUGGUUGAGUGGCUGGCAGAAAGUGCUUAUCCAAUUAGGUAUGGCUGUCUUAAUCAUGAUGCUUCUCCUUGUUAUUUUUGUCUGUUGUGUAUUGCCAUGUGUUCAGAAAUACCUGCAGAAAACAGUCGACCAGACAAUUGACCGGACUACCUCAACCUUCCUCCACCAGGAGUUAGAUGACAAAGAUUGUGAUAAAACUCACUCACCCCACUCUCCUUUGCAGUCCUUCCGCACCAAUCACGCAACUACUUCCUUUUAGGGACGGUAGGGAUAGCAUCUGUCUUUACGGGCAAAGUCUGUAGCGGGGGAGGUAGUGGACAAGCCACUGCUUGUCUAAUGCGCAGCACCCAGAAGUGUUCGAGAGGCCUGUGGGACAGAUGUGCGGCAACCUAUUAGGGACAGUUUAGGGAUGGUUUGACUUGGUGCUUAUUGUAGUUGUUUAGUAAAUAGUCAUUUUAAGGGGGGACUGUUAUGGACGUAAAUUAGAAUUAGUAAAAUGCCUAUUUACUCAUGUAUACUCAUAUUCAAUAUUUACUCAAAAUUACUGAUAGAGGCUACCCCUCCCAUCAACUAACUACUUCGUGUAACAAUAUGGCGCUGGAAUCCGGAGUAAAAUCCCGUGAUGACAAUGAUAUCACGCCUUGUAGGAUGUGCAUUAGAUAAAACACUAAACACCUAACCAAAUGUUGAUGUAUUUUCUCUGUUAUCUAUAAUUUUGCAUAUGAUGUAUUCUUGCUUUAUAAGGGGCAUGCCGGCCCCCUGAAUAAACAUUCCUGAAGUUUUUUCAUCAACCAG